UACGUAGGGUGCGAGCGUUGUCCGGAAUUACUGGGCGUAAAGAGCUUGUAGGUGGUUUGUCGCGUUGUUCGUGAAAUCUCACGGCUUAACUGUGAGCGUGCGGGCGAUACGGGCAGACUAGAGUACUGCAGGGGGAGACUGGAAUUCCUGGUGUAGCGGUGGAAUGCGCAGAUAUCAGGAGGAACACCGGUGGCGAAGGCGGGGUCUCUGGGCAGUAACUGACGCUGAGAAGCGAAAGCGUGGGGAGCGAACAGG
rnacentral:rRNA from 1 species